GAUGAACGCUGGCGGCGUGCCUAAUACAUGCAAGUCGAGCGAACGGACGAGAAGCUUGCUUCUCUGAUGUUAGCGGCGGACGGGUGAGUAACACGUGGAUCACCUCCCUAUAAGACUGGGAUCACUUCGGGAAACCGGCGCUAAUCCCGGAUAAUAUUUUGAACCGCAUGGUUCAAUGGUGAAAGACGGUCUUGCUGUCACUUCUCGCUGGAUCCGAGCUGCAUUAGCUAGUUGGUAAGGUAACGGCUUACCAAGGCAACGAUGCAUAACCGACCGGAGAGAGUGGUCGGCCACACUAGAACGGAGACGCGGUCCAGACUCCUACGGGAGGCAGCAGUAGGGAAUCGUCCGCAAUGGGCGAAAGCCUUACGGAGCAACGCCGCGUGAGUGAUGAAGGUCUUCGGAUCGUAAAACUCUGUUAUUAGGGAAGAACAGAUUUGUAAGUAACUGUGCACAUCGUGACGGUACCGAAUCAGAAAGCCACGGCUAACUACGUG
rnacentral:rRNA from 1 species